AGUAGUUUGAUCAUGGCUCAGAACGAACGCUGGCGGCAUGCCUAACACAUGCAAGUCGAACGAGACCUUCGGGUCUAGUGGCGCACGGGUGCGUAACGCGUGGGAAUCUGCCCUUGGGUUCGGAAUAACAGUUAGAAAUGACUGCUAAUACCGGAUAAUGUCUUCGGACCAAAGAUUUAUCGCCCAGGGAUGAGCCCGCGUAGGAUUAGCUAGUUGGUGAGGUAAAGGCUCACCAAGGCGACGAUCCUUAGCUGGUCUGAGAGGAUGAUCAGCCACACUGGGACUGAGACACGGCCCAGACUCCUACGGGAGGCAGCAGUGGGGAAUAUUGGACAAUGGGCGAAAGCCUGAUCCAGCAAUGCCGCGUGAGUGAUGAAGGCCUUAGGGUUGUAAAGCUCUUUACCCGGGAUGAUAAUGACAGUACCGGGAGAAUAAGCCCCGGCUAACUCCGUG
rnacentral:rRNA from 1 species